UAGGGAAUCUUCGGCAAUGGACGGAAGUCUGACCGAGCAACGCCGCGUGAGUGAAGAAGGUUUUCGGAUCGUAAAGCUCUGUUGUAAGAGAAGAACGAGUGUGAGAGUGGAAAGUUCACACUGUGACGGUAACUUACCAGAAAGGGACGGCCAACUACGUGCCAGCAGCCGCGGUAAUACGUAGGUCCCGAGCGUUAUCCGGAUUUAUUGGGCGUAAAGCGAGCGCAGGCGGUUAGAUAAGUCUGAAGUUAAAGGCUGUGGCUUAACCAUAGUACGCUUUGGAAACUGUUUAACUUGAGUGCAGAAGGGGAGAGUGGAAUUCCAUGUGUAGCGGUGAAAUGCGUAGAUAUAUGGAGGAACACCGGUGGCGAAAGCGGCUCUCUGGUCUGUAACUGACGCUGAGGCUCGAAAGCGUGGGGAGCAAACAGGAUUAGAUACCCUGGUAGUCCACGCCGUAAACGAUGAGUGCUAGGUGUUGGGUCCUUUCCGGGACUCAGUGCCGCAGCUAACGCAUUAAGCACUCCGCCUGGGGAGUACGACCGCAAGGUUG
rnacentral:rRNA from 1 species